GAAGUAAUGUGAAUUGCAGAAUUCAGUGAAUCAUCGAAUCUUUGAACGCACCUUGCGCUCCUUGGUAUUCCGAGGAGCAUGCCUGUUUGAGUGUCAUUAAAUUCUCAACCUUACCAGUUUUCACGAAUUGGUAAUGGCUUGGACUUGGGGGUUUUUUGCUGGCUUCGUCAAGAGGUCUGCUCCCCUUAAAAGUAUUAGCCGGUACCCUUGUGGAGUCGUCUAUUGGUGUGAUAAUUAUCUACGCCGUGGGCCUUCACUUUAAAUGGAUUGUACUGCUUCUAACCGUCCGUUAAGUCGGACAAAUAAUGACAAUUUGACCUCAAAUCAGGUAGGACUACCCGCUGAACUUAAGCAUAUCAAUAAGCGGAGGAAAAGAAACUAACAAGGAUUCCCCUAGUAACUGCGAGUGAAGCGGGAAAAGCUCAAAUUUAAAAUCUGGUGGUCUUUGAUCAUCCGAGUUGUAAUCUAGAGAAGUGUUAUCCGCGCUGGACCGUGUACAAGUCUCCUGGAAUGGAGCGUCAUAGAGGGUGAGAAUCCCGUCUUUGACACGGACUGCCAGGGCUUUGUGAUGCGCUCUCAAAGAGUCGAGUUGUUUGGGAAUGCAGCUCAAAAUGGGUGGUAAAUUCCAUCUAAAGCUAAAUAUUGGCGAGAGACCGAUAGCGAACAAGUACCGUGAGGGAAAGAUGAAAAGAACUUUGGAAAGAGAGUUAAACAGUACGUGAAAUUGCUGAAAGGGAAACGCUUGAAGUCAGUCGCGUUGGCCGGGGAUCAACCUUGCUUUUGCUGGGCGUACUUUCCGGUUGACGGGUCAGCAUCAAUUUUGACCGUUGGAUAAAGUUCAGGGGAAUGUGGCAUCUUCGGAUGUGUUAUAGCCUNUGUUCGCAUACAACGGUUGGGAUUGAGGAACUCAGCACGCCGCAAGGCCGGGUAUUUAUACUACGUUCGUGCUUAGGAUGCUGGCAUAAUGGCUUUAAUCGACCNGUCUUGAAACACGGACCAAGGAGUCUAACAUGCCUGCGAGUGUUUGGGUGGAAAACCCGAGCGCGUAAUGAAAGUGAAAGUUGAGAUCCCUGUCGUGGGGAGCAUCGACGCCCGGACCAGACCUUUUGUGACGGAUCCGCGGUAGAGCAUGUAUGUUGGGACCCGAAAGAUGGUGAACUAUGCCUGAAUAGGGUGAAGCCAGAGGAAACUCUGGUGGAGGCUCGUAGCGAUUCUGACGUGCAAAUCGAUCGUCAAAUUUGGGUAUAGGGGCGAAAGACUAAUCGAACCAUCUAGUAGCUGG
rnacentral:rRNA from 1 species